UACGAAGGGUGCAAGCGUUACUCGGAAUUACUGGGCGUAAAGGGUGCGUAGGCGGUUGUUUAAGUCUGUCGUGAAAUCCCCGGGCUCAACCUGGGAAUGGCGAUGGAUACUGGACAGCUAGAGUGUGUCAGAGGAUGGUGGAAUUCCCGGUGUAGCGGUGAAAUGCGUAGAGAUCGGGAGGAACAUCAGUGGCGAAGGCGGCCAUCUGGGACAACACUGACGCUGAAGCACGAAAGCGUGGGGAGCAAACAGG
rnacentral:rRNA from 1 species